ensembl:snRNA U6 U6 spliceosomal RNA
GUGCUUGCUUUGGCAGCACAUUCUAAAAUUGAAAUGAUACAGAGAAAAUUAACAUGGCCCCUGCUCAAGAAUGACACACAAAUUCGUGAAGUGUUCCAUAUUUUU